AUUGAACGCUGGCGGCAGGCCUAACACAUGCAAGUCGAGCGGUAGAGAGGUGCUUGCAUCUCUUGAGAGCGGCGGACGGGUGAGUAAUGCCUAGGAAUCUGCCUAGUGGUGGGGGAUAACGUUCGGAAACGGACGCUAAUACCGCAUACGUCCUACGGGAGAAAGCGGGGGAUCUUCGGACCUCGCGCCAUUAGAUGAGCCUAGGUCGGAUUAGCUAGUUGGUGAGGUAAUGGCUCACCAAGGCGACGAUCCGUAACUGGUCUGAGAGGAUGAUCAGUCACACUGGAACUGAGACACGGUCCAGACUCCUACGGGAGGCAGCAGUGGGGAAUAUUGGACAAUGGGCGAAAGCCUGAUCCAGCCAUGCCGCGUGUGUGAAGAAGGUCUUCGGAUUGUAAAGCACUUUAAGUUGGGAGGUAAGGGUAGUAACCUAAUACGUUGCUACUUUGACGUUACCGACAG
rnacentral:rRNA from 1 species